GACGAACGCUGGCGGCGUGCUUAACACAUGCAAGUCGAACGGAAAGGCCCUGCUUUUGUGGGGUGCUCGAGUGGCGAACGGGUGAGUAACACGUGAGUAACCUGCCCUUGACUUUGGGAUAACUUCAGGAAACUGGGGCUAAUACCGGAUAGGAGCUCCUGCUGCAUGGUGGGGGUUGGAAAGUUUCGGCGGUUGGGGAUGGACUCGCGGCUUAUCAGCUUGUUGGUGGGGUAGUGGCUUACCAAGGCUUUGACGGGUAGCCGGCCUGAGAGGGUGACCGGCCACAUUGGGACUGAGAUACGGCCCAGACUCCUACGGGAGGCAGCAGUGGGGAAUAUUGCACAGUGGGCGGGAGCCUGAUGCAGCAACGCCGCGUGCGGGAUGACGGCCUUCGGGUUGUGAACCGCUUUCGCCUGUGACGAAGCGUGAGUGACGGUAAUGGGUAAAGAAGCACCGGCUAACUACGUG
rnacentral:rRNA from 1 species